ACAAUGGAGAGUUUGAUCCUGGCUCAGGAUGAACGCUAGCGGCAGGCCUAAUACAUGCAAGUCGAGCGGCAAGUCGAGGAGU
rnacentral:rRNA from 1 species